rnacentral:rRNA from 1 species
AGCAGUGGGGAAUAUUGGACAAUGGGCGAAAGCCUGAUCCAGCCAUGCCGCGUGUGUGAAGAAGGUCUUCGGAUUGUAAAGCACUUUAAGUUGGGAGGAAGGGCAUUAACCUAAUACGUUGAUGUUUUGACGUUACCGACAGAAUAAGCACCGGCUAACUCUGUGCCAGCAGCCGCGGUAAUACAGAGGGUGCAAGCGUUAAUCGGAAUUACUGGGCGUAAAGCGCGCGUAGGUGGUUUGUUAAGUUGAAUGUGAAAUCCCCGGGCUCAACCUGGGAACUGCAUCCAAAACUGGCAAGCUAGAGUAGGGCAGAGGGUGGUGGAAUUUCCUGUGUAGCGGUGAAAUGCGUAGAUAUAGGAAGGAACACCAGUGGCGAAAGCGACCACCUGGGCUCAUACUGACACUGAGG